rnacentral:rRNA from 1 species
AAUGACUCUCGGCAACGGAUAUCUCGGCUCUCGCAUCGAUGAAGAACGUAGCGAAAUGCGAUACUUGGUGUGAAUUGCAGAAUCCCGUGAACCAUCGAGUCUUUGAACGCAAGUUGCGCCCGAAGCCUUCUGGCCGAGGGCACGUCUGCCUGGGUGUCACGCAACGUCG